rnacentral:rRNA from 1 species
CUCGUAGGCGGUUCGUCGCGUCCGGUGUGAAAGUCCAUCGCUUAACGGUGGAUCCGCGCCGGGUACGGGCGGGCUUGAGUGCGGUAGGGGAGACUGGAAUUCCCGGUGUAACGGUGGAAUGUGUAGAUAUCGGGAAGAACACCAAUGGCGAAGGCAGGUCUCUGGGCAGUAACUGACGCUGAGGAGCGAAAGCGUGGGGAGCGAACA